rnacentral:rRNA from 2 species
UAGGGAAUCUUCGGCAAUGGACGAAAGUCUGACCGAGCAACGCCGCGUGAGUGAAGAAGGUUUUCGGAUCGUAAAACUCUGUUGUUAGAGAAGAACAAGGACGUUAGUAACUGAACGUCCCCUGACGGUAUCUAACCAGAAAGCCACGGCUAACUACGUGCCAGCAGCCGCGGUAAUACGUAGGUGGCAAGCGUUGUCCGGAUUUAUUGGGCGUAAAGCGAGCGCAGGCGGUUUCUUAAGUCUGAUGUGAAAGCCCCCGGCUCAACCGGGGAGGGUCAUUGGAAACUGGGAGACUUGAGUGCAGAAGAGGAGAGUGGAAUUCCAUGUGUAGCGAUGAAAUGCGUAGAUAUAUGGAGGAACACCAGUGGCGAAGGCGGCUCUCUGGUCUGUAACUGACGCUGAGGCUCGAAAGCGUGGGGAGCAAACAGG